ensembl:lncRNA
AGCAUUCUGACCUAGAAGGACAUCUCUUGUGGAUUACAGCAGAAAACUUUUGAAUACAUUUGGUAUUGGUACACUCAGAGACUGAAGUAAUAACUAUGACCUUCACUGAAGAAUGAGAAGUCUUUGGGAAAAAGAGGACAUGGGACUGAGGAGAGAAAAAGUGAGUGAGAAAAUGAGAAAGAAUUUUGACUUUGUGUAUCUGUAGCUUUGAUUUAAUAUUAUCCGUCACCUGUAUGUAGUGAUUACCUUCUUGAGAAUUCUGUUUGUUUCAAAUUCGUUUUAUUUUAACCAGUCUUGAUUAAUAAAG